UUAGUACAUAUAUUUAUGUGUGCCUUAGGUACAAUAACGACGCGAUAUCUAAAAAAUACAAAUAUGAAUGGCAAAAGAAAGAAGACGGAAGAAGUACGUAUUUUUGUUUUGAAAAUUGUUUAGUAGAACAAAACUUCUCUAUAGUUGCGUGUUCAUUUCCGAUUUUACCUAUGCUGAUUUUUACCAGUUUUUCUCCAUUUAUUAUAAAAACCGCUAGGGAAACUAAAAAUUGACCAUUCCAAUGCACCAACUAUACUCUGGCCCACGAGAUAAGUAAACCGUGUUCUGACUGCGUCUGCAUGCAUAUAUAUACAUUGCAAUACGUAACUGAACAAAGCGGAGGAAACUGUGUUUUUGAACAGUCACUGCCGUCAGUCUAGACGCGCAAAACGAAUUAGUUCUCCCGUGGGCCGC